UUGUGUCGUUUAUUUCUCUUAUCGUUCGUUCAUAAAUAUAGCCCAAAUCUGCACUUUCAAAUUAGUAUUUCCUUAACUUUUUUUUUGACAUCGUUACAAAUUAUAUGUUUCUCUUUGAAAGAAAUCAGGUUCGAACCCGUAUCUGGUGAGAAGGCAACAGAGGUGUGAACCACUAGCCCACUUGUCCUUCUCUAGGUAUUUCCUUAACUAAAUUUGAUAUUUUCUGUCACUAAAUUAUUAACUAAAGAUACUAGGAUUUACCCCGUGGUACACCACGGGUCCAUAAUUUAAUAUAUUUCAUUAAUUAGUCUUUUUUGUAAUUAGUUUAUAUAGUCUAGUUUUGUACGUGUUUAUUUCAUUUUAAUUUUAUAUAAUUUUAUGAAUUUGUAUUAUAAGUAUAUUCAUAGAUAUGUGUGGUUUGCACACCGCGAGACAAUUUUUCUAUAAAAAAAUUUAUAUUUUUUUUAACCCAUAAAAGAUUUUAAAUAUAGGCAAUCUGUAAGAAAAAUAUAAUCAUAUUUAUGUGAACUCAAACCCGUUCAAUCAUAUUUAUGUAAAAUAUUAGAAUAAAUUUUUAGAGUUAAAAUAUUAAAUAAGACUUUCAAUUUUUGUAGACUUUAAACAUUUUUAAUAGUCUAUAAAGCUUAAUUAAAUAUGAUAAUAUUUGAAGCUUUUGAAAUUUUUAAUUUUAAUAACAUUUUAAACUUAAAAAAAUUAUAAUAUUUCGAAAUUUUUUAAAAGUUUUUUUUCUUAAAUAAAGAACCAGAUGAAACUGAAUAUUUUUUUUAAAUUUGGAUGCCUGAAAAAUCAAACUUCACGCUCAUUUGUAGUUGGAAGCAUAUUAAUACUAUUUGUAAUGGUUUUAAACUAUUAUCUAAAAUUUUCUACUUCUACAUAUAUUUUUCCUUUAUCAAUUGAGUUAUAUACGUCCGUUUUCAAAAACUUUAAUUGCAAAUGUGCGGAAAAAAAUUGUAUUUUUUAUUAUAAAUAUGUUUUAUGUAAUAAUAUAAAUUUAAAACAAAUAAGAUUAUAUAAAUAUAUUGAAGAGAGAUUGAAUUUAUUAGAUAUAUUCUAAGAAAUUUUUUUGAUGUAAUAAAUAUUUGUUUCCAAUUUUGCUAUUUGCUUGUGAUUUAAUUUCAAAUUUUACUUUUAAGUUUUGUUAUUUAUUGAGAUGACAAGGGUCUGAUUAUGCAAAUAUUACCAAAUAAAAGGUUAUAACCCAAAAUAGAUUUUAGUACAAAAUGUACUUCAAAAAUGUUAAGAUAGAUUGUACCUAAAUUUAAAUUCAAAAGGAGAAAUGAAGUAGGGUAAGAGCUUGUUUUAUGCACAUGCAUUUGUAUAGAUUUAAGAAAAGUACAUCAAGACAAAAAUCCCCAAUACUAGGUGUUCAACUGUUCAUGUGUUCCCUACGCACUUGUGCAUUUAUGUGUAAACACUCUUAUUAGUCAUAUCAUCUCCAUAAAUUUGAUUCUAAUAAUAGUUUUGAUGAAAUAAGAGUCUUGCCUUGUCUCAUGAUAUCUUUGACCAUUUAGUCCACUCAAAACAUUUAUAUAUAGAAAGAGAAAUCUCAACGUAAACAUUCUGAAGUCAAGAUACUGAAAAUUUUGAACUGUUCUUAAUUAUUAUCUUAUUAUACGGUGCGUAUAAUGCGAUUACAAAGUUUUCAUGUACAUAAGUAAUUAGCUUUAUCAACCAUGGUAGAAAGCAACACGUAAUUCCAAUAAGAAUGAAAUGAUUAAGUACAAACUUGUUUUACAGCCACAACAAUGUAUUACUGUCAAGUCUUAAUCUAUCUUUUUAUAACAUGCAUGUGUAGAAAAAUGAAUAAGCAGAUAAGACUAUAAAAUACUUAAAGACCACAUAUAUAUCUAAGAAUUUUGUUUUUUAUUUCUCUCUUUGGAGUAUUAUCUUAAUAUUUCCAAUAGGUUAAAGUAACCUACACUAUUUUAACCAAAAUUUUGUUUAGAUUUUUAAAAAUAUUUUUAGUAGUUUUUUACCAGAAGCAAAUCUUUUGGAUAGAAUAAAAUUUAUUAAUAAAAUUAAAAUUAGAAUUAUAAAUAAUAAAUAAAAAACCGAGUAAAAUUCUAAUUUAUUGAAGAUCUUUUUGUAAAAUACUUAUUGACUGAAAGGAAAAGUUGUAUUAUAAACAAGUUUAAGCCGCAAGUAACUAUUUCUUGAAGUAGGUUAACUUAGGUAAAUGUACUUUUUUGUACUUGUUAUAUAUUUAUGGGAAACUUUCAUAAAUAACACUAAAAUGAGUAUUUUCCACAAACACCAUUAUAAGUUUUAUUUUCCAAAAAUACCACAAAAAUACAUUUUUGCAAAAAUACCAAAAAACUAAACUAAUUCUUUUAAUAUUCAAAAUUUAUUUUUAAAUCCUAAUCACUAAUCCGUACCCCCAAAAACUAUACCUUGAAUAUAAAUAUUCAACACAAACAUAAAAAAGAAAUUUACGCCUUCAAAAAUUAAUUUUUGACGUUUAUGUUAUUUUUGGAGAAAUAAAUCUUUUUGGUAACUAAAAAACAAAUUAUGGUAUUUUCGGAAAAAUAAAACUUAAAUGGUGGUAUUGGAGGAAAUUUCUCUAUAUUUAUUAUUUGUAAAAGUAACCUCAGAAACAUAUAUUCAAGUGGAAGCUCACUUAGUCUAGUGGUUGACAAAGAGGUUGUUUAAAGCUUCUACACCAAGAGGUCUGGGGUUCGACGCCCGGGUAAUGCGAUUUAUUUAAUUUGCAGAUUAAGGAGCUAAGCUUACAAGAGAUCUAUAACAAUGCACAAUUAGAGCCGUUCGCCGUGAUUCUACGCAUGGAGAAGAAAGUGUCGUCAGGAAAGGGUUGUAAUCUGUGGUGAAUCUAAAAGGGUCGGACAGAAUUGUCGGUAGUAGUAUCGUCGUUGUAACAAUUCUCAUAAUCUGCCAUAAAUAAUAAAUCAAGAGUUAAAAAAAAAAACAUAUAUUCAAAAUCGUUAUUCCCUACUAUAACUUAAUGGAAAAAAUGUCAAUUUAUUACAUUUUCCAAAAUAUUUU
rnacentral:lncRNA from 1 species